rnacentral:rRNA from 1 species
UACGUAGGUGGCAAGCGUUUGUCCGGAUUUAUUGGGUUUAAAGGGUGCGUAGGCGGCUUUGUAAGUCAGUGGUGAAAUACUCCAGCUUAACUGGAGGGGUGCCAUUGAUACUGCGGAGCUUGAGUACAGAUGAGGUAGGCGGAAUUGACGGUGUAGCGGUGAAAUGCAUAGAUAUCGUCAAGAACACCGAUAGCGAAGGCAGCUUACUGGGCUGUAAACUGACGCUGAUGCACGAAAAGUGUGGGGGAUCAAAACAGG